rnacentral:rRNA from 1 species
AACGAACGCUGGCGGCAUGCCUAACACAUGCAAGUCGAACGAAGCCUUCGGGCUUAGUGGCGCACGGGUGCGUAACGCGUGGGAAUCUGCCCUUGGGUUCGGAAUAACAGUUAGAAAUGACUGCUAAUACCGGAUGAUGUCUUCGGACCAAAGAUUUAUCGCCCAAGGAUGAGCCCGCGUAGGAUUAGGUAGUUGGUGGGGUAAUGGCCCACCAAGCCGACGAUCCUUAGCUGGUCCGAGAGGAUGAUCAGCCACACUGGGACUGAGACACGGCCCAGACUCCUACGGGAGGCAGCAGUGGGGAACAUUGGACAAUGGGCGAAAGCCUGAUCCAGCAAUGCCGCGUGAGUGAUGAAGGCCUUAGGGUUGUAAAGCUCUUUUACAGGGAUGAUAAUGACAGUACCUGGAGAAUAAGCACCGGCUAACUUCGUGCCAGCCGCCGCCGUAAUAC